GACGAACGCUGGCGGCGUGCUUAACACAUGCAAGUCGUACGGUAAGGCCCUUUCGGGGGUACACGAGUGGCGAACGGGUGAGUAACACGUGAGUAACCUGCCCACAACUUUGGGAUAACGCUAGGAAACUGGUGCUAAUACUGUAUAUGUGCCCCUGCUGCAUGGUGGGGGUUGGAAAGCUCCGGCGGUUGUGGAUGGACUCGCGGCCUAUCAGCUUGUUGGUGGGGUAGUGGCCUACCAAGGCGGCGACGGGUAGCCGGCCUGAGAGGGUGACCGGCCACAUUGGGACUGAGAUACGGCCCAGACUCCUACGGGAGGCAGCAGUGGGGAAUAUUGCACAAUGGGCGCAAGCCUGAUGCAGCAACGCCGCGUGCGGGAUGACGGCCUUCGGGUUGUAAACCGCUUUCAGCAGGGACGAAGCUUUUUGUGACGGUACCUGCAGAAGAAGCACCGGCUAACUACGUG
rnacentral:rRNA from 1 species